GUGGGGAAUCUUGCGCAAUGGGCGAAAGCCUGACGCAGCCAUGCCGCGUGAAUGAUGAAGGUCUUAGGAUUGUAAAAUUCUUUCACCGGGGACGAUAAUGACGGUACCCGGAGAAGAAGCUCCGGCUAACUUCGUGCCAGCAGCCGCGGUAAUACGAAGGGGGCUAGCGUUGCUCGGAAUUACUGGGCGUAAAGGGCGCGUAGGCGGACAGCUUAGUCAGAGGUGAAAGCCCAGGGCUCAACCUUGGAAUUGCCUUUGAUACUGGCUGUCUUGAGUUUGGGAGAGGUGAGUGGAACUCCGAGUGUAGAGGUGAAAUUCGUAGAUAUUCGGAAGAACACCAGUGGCGAAGGCGACACACUGGCUCAUUACUGACGCUGAGGCGCGAAAGCGUGGGGAGCAAACAGGAUUAGAAACCCGUGUAGUCC
rnacentral:rRNA from 1 species